GACGAACGCUGGCGGCGUGCUUAACACAUGCAAGUCGAACGGAAAGGCCCUGCUUUUGUGGGGUGCUCGAUUGGCGAACGGGUGAGUAACACGUGAGUAACCUGCCCUUGACUUUGGGAUAACUUCAGGAAACUGGGGCUAAUACCGGAUAGGAUCUCCUGCUGCAUGUUGGGGGUUGGAAAGUUUCGGCGGUUGGGGAUGGACUCGCGGCUUAUCCGCUUGUUUGUCGGGUAGUUGCUUACCAAGGGUUUGACGGGUAGCCGGCCUGAGAGGGUGAACGGCGACAAGGGGACUGAGGGACGGACCAGAAUCCUACGGGAGGCAGCAGUGGGGAGUAUUACAGAAUGGGGGGAAGCCUGAGACGGAAACGCCGCGAGCGGGAUGACGGCCUACGGGUUAUAAACAGAUUUCGACGGAGACGAAGAGUGAGUGACGGUAAUGGGUAAAGAAGCACCGGCUAACUACGUG
rnacentral:rRNA from 1 species